rnacentral:rRNA from 1 species
AACGAACGCUGGCGGUAGGCUUAACACAUGCAAGUCGAGCGCCCCGCACGGGGAGCGUCAGCCGGGUGAGUAAAGCGUGGGCGUCUACCCAUCUCUACGGAACAACGCCUGUCAACGCGUGCUAUUACCGUAUAAGUCCGAUGGGAGAAAGAUUUAUCGGAGAUGGAGGAGCCCGCGUUGGAUUAGCUAGUUGGUUGGGUAAAGGCCUACCAAGGCGACUAUCCAUAGCUGGUCUGAGAGGAUGAUCAGCGACACUGGGACUGAGACACGGCCCAGAAUCCUACGGGAGGCAGCAGUGGGGAAUAUUGGACAAUGGGCGCAAGCCUGAUCCAGCCAUGCCGCGUGAGUGAUGAAGGCCCUAGGGUUGUAAAGCUCUUUCACCGGUGAAGAUAAUGACGGAAACCGGAGAAGAAGCCCCGGCUAACUUCGUGCCAGCAGCCGCCGUAACAC